GGUGUAGGCGGCUCGAUAAGUCGAAUGUGAAAGCCCGGGGCUCAACUUCGGAAGUGCAUUCGAAACUGCCGGGCUUGAGUACGGGAGAGGGAAGUGGAAUUCCUGGUGUAGAGGUGAAAUUCGUAGAUAUCAGGAGGAACACCUGUGGCGAAGGCGGCUUCCUGGACCGAUACUGACGCUGAGACCCGAAAGCGUGGGGAGCAAACA
rnacentral:rRNA from 1 species